UUUGAACUUGUUUAUUCCUUCUGUGCUCCUUCCUGUCACGAUGAGAUCGUCAACAUACACUCCAACAAGUAUACUAGCUUCUCUUUUACCUCUUGUAUAUACUGCAUGUUCUUGAUUGCAUUUUUUGAAGCCGAGCUCUUUCAGACUCCUGUUCAGCCGCAUGUUCCAAGCUCGUGGAGCCUGCCGCAGUCCAUAGAGGGCCUUGGAUAACCUCUCUCCGUUCAGAAAUGCCGACUUCACGUCUAGAUGGUGUACCUCCCAGCCUUGAUUUGCUGCAAGUGCAAGAAUGACUCGAAUAGUAUCAAGUCUAGCGACAGCUGAAUCUUUCUUCAGUUUGAACACCCAUUUUAGGCCGAUAGGUUUGUGGCCUAAUGGGAGCUCAGUUAGGGUCCAGGUCUUGUUCAUCUCAAUAGUCUUCAGUUCUUCCUCCAUUGCUUCGUACCAGCAAGCCUCGGUUGCAGCUUCUUGGUAACAGAUAUCGGCAAUGGACCUAUAACGGACUGGCCCUUCAUGAGACUCGGGUGAGGUAGUUGCUUGGGUGCUCGAUGAUGGUGUAGACGGACUUGAUGCUCUUGUCGAAGAUGGGGUAGAUAGACUUGAUGAUGG